rnacentral:rRNA from 1 species
GGACGCCCACCGAAAACUUAGCGUGGACAAGUCGUUCAUUUGCAACUAGCCCUCCCCCCCAAAAAAAAGUCGUGCAUUUGCAACUGCUCCUCAUCCUCUCUCCCUCGACGGACCCUCAUCCUCACCGCCAUGGCUCCGCCUCCGCCUCCGGCUACGGACGAACGAACCGUGUCUGCCGGAGACACGCACGAAGCCGGCACAUGUGUGGUGGUGCUCGCCGUCGGUCCGUCUCUUGGUGCGACCAAGUGCUUGCAUGUUUACAUGAGUAGGUAUGAUAUGGAUCGAGCCGAGGAUUCACCACACAACCUUCGGUUUCCCAGUUUCUCUGCUCUGGUUUGCCGAUGGAUGGAGACGAGCUUCUUUCUUCUGGCCGGUAGAUCUGGUUAUGAUCCACAAAUUCGGUUUUUGAUCUGCUACCGUACGUAUAAUAUGUCUUCCCUCCAUCUCGUGCAUGGAAGUAUGUUUGUGUUGGAGACGGCCGGUGAUGGACACGGAUCUCAUCACACGAUUCACAGUCUAGGCUUUCGAGAUGCAAGCAAUUUUUUAUUCGACAAAGGGUUAGGCGAAUACCACGACCCCCUAAGUUUCCGAUCCUUUUCACUCGAAACUCUCUCGCCGGCCGGCAUCAACAGGCGCAAUACAAGGUCGAUCUACCAGUUGGAGCUAAUUAAUGGUGUUGCCCUGCCCCCGCCUGUUACGGGGCAGAGCUUUCGGCCGUCGGCCAAGGUUUCUGUCCAACAGUUGGUGUCCAACACCGGCGGAGAGAAAACGACCUUGGACAAGAACUAAAAAGCUAUCAAGAUCCUAAUGGUGUGGCGACGCGUGACACCCUGCCGGUUAGGGUACAAGAUCUUUCUUCACAUGGCCACCAGCCAACAUAGCAGUUGGUGUCGACCACUAGCGGAGGAAAAAAGCAACUCAAGCCAUCGAUGUUUUCGUUUGCUGCACUACCUGUGUUCCUAUGUUUUUAAGGCGUCCGUAAGGCGACGCCUAGGCGUCGAGGCGCCCCCCCAGCGCUUUGCAAAUAUGCCCGCUUUAGGCGCCUAGGCGUCGAGGCGCCCCCCCAGCGCCUUAAAGCGAAGCAUCGCCUUAAAAACACAGAACACAGUGUGUUCUGCUGGGCGCUUGAUCAUGUUGCCAGAUUCCUAAGGCGUAACUUUGCUUACUCAUCUUUCUAUAGGAUACUUGGAAGAACCUUGUUUUUGGGUGGAGACAAACAAUACCACACUCAGCCUCCUCUAAUCAAAUGCCGAAGUUGCGUGGGGGUUCCUUCUGAUAAUAUCGUUGUUCUCGUUGGCACCGCAACAUCAUUCUGACAUUCAGACAUUAUGGCUUCAUCCCACACGUCAAGCACUUCCUCUGCCAAAGUAACCAUGCGUGCAUCCCUUGCUUCCUGGAGUAUUACUGCUGUCUACGGGCCUCAAUCCGUUGCGGAUAAGUUUGCCUUCAUCCAAGAGAUCAAACAACUAAAGGCCUCCAUGCUACCUUCUUGGCUGUUGCUGGGGCACUUCAAUCUCAUAUGUUAAGCUAAGGACAAAAGCAGUGCUAACAGGAGGCUGCUUAACUCCUUCAGGGCAGUUCUCAACGCAAUUGAGGUCUCUGAACUCUGGCUGCACGGUUGGCGGUUUACUUGGGUCAGCACCUGUCAGUCGCAAACAAGGACGGAGAUUGAUCACGUUUUCUGCACCGCUGACUGGAAUCUUAUGUUCCCAUAAUGUCACCUGAGAGCCAUCUCCUCUGUCUCCGAUCACUGUGCCAUGGUGCUCUCUGGCCAGGUCAGCCAACACCAUUUCAGAGGGUUCCGAUUUGAGGAAUACUGGUUCAAGCUCAGGGGCUUCACUGAGGCUACUCAUGAUCCGCCCCAUCAAAGUGCUUUCAUUCAGUCCCGUUCCAUCAAACUGCUACAUACAAAUAAAGAUGAUGCUCUGAUGCUUAAACUGGACAUUGUCAGUGCCUUUCACUCUGUUUCGUGGGGGUUCUUUAUUGAGCUGAUGCAACGACUGGGAUUCGGCCGCAAAUGGUGUGAUAUGAUCAGCCUGCUGUGGUGUUCAUCCUCUUCAAGGGUCAUGGUUAAUGACGAGCUGGGCGACAGAUUCUUCCAUCAGCGGGGCCUUAGGCAAGGAGAUCUGCUGUCUCUAAUGCUAUUCACGAUUGCAAUCGCGCCGCUACACUGGAUGUUGCUGAAGGCCAGCUCCUCCGGUCCCCUCUCGUGCUCGCGCCUUCCUCCCUCUCAACUGAGAGUGAGUCUUUAUGCAGACCACGCUGCACUGUUCGUAGCCCCAACAGCAAGAGAUAUUGAGGUCACAAGGCAAAUUCCAUGUGCUUUUGGUGAUGCUAGUGGUCUUCGGGCCAACCUGGCCAAGAGUGGAAUAUACCCAAUUGGGUGCUUGAACAUCUCUCGCCCCAUCAUCCUGCAGCAGUUUCCCAUACCUGUGUGCAAUUCCGCUGCAAAUACUUGGGCCUACCUCUGCACUUCAAGAAAAUUACAAUAGCUGACCUGCAACCGAUUUUGGAUAAGAUAGCAUCUAAGCUCCAGGUUUGGCGAGGUAAGCUUAUGUCCAGCGAUGCCAGGCUGCGGUUACUCAACUCAGUCCUGUCAGCCAUACCCACAUACCUCAUCUCGCUCACCAAAGGUCGAUGUCGGGGCUGCACCGCAUCAACACUCUUCCCCAGCUAUGCCAGUUCACCAAGCUAUGGUCCUUGAUUCAAUAAUUCCAGCUGCAGCCCAACUCUUCGGACUUGAUCAGCUGGAAUGACUCCAUUACCGGCUCCUACUCCGUUCGUUCUGCAUAUCUGACUCAGUUUUGUGGAUCCUAGUGCAACAUCAACUUCAGCAGGCUUUGGAAAUCAAAGGUUGAGCCUCAAUGCCGCUCUUCGGCUGGCUCAUGCUUCGGGGCAGGAUCCUAACCAACGACAACCUCUCUCUCAGCAACAUUCAGUACAACGUUGACAUGUGCAGCCUGUGUGACCAGGAGGAGACGCCGCUGCACCUCAUCCUCAAGUGUUCAUAUGCUAAGCAGGUCUGGUUCCUCGUUGCAGAAUGGUGGUGGCCACCUUGAUCUGGCUGCUCAUGCGGAUGCCGCCACCGCUCUUGUCUCAUGGUGGAAUGAUCUUGUUUUCUGCACACCUGGUGCUAAAGAUCGGGCGGACAGUCAACCCGUACAUCCAUCUCUACGUUCCGUUCCUCCAUACACCCAUUGCCACGGUCCGGCGGUGGUGGCUCAGGUUGCGGGACACGGAGGACGAGAUCAGGAUUGGACUUACGAGGUCUGUGGUGCAAAGAAGAAAAACUUAUAUCUACUAUCAACUGAAAGGAACAAGGCGACUGGGAAAUCCUGGGCUACAUAUCCUUCCUUUCCUUGAUUUUCCUUCCAAAAGCUGAGGAAGAUGCCCUGGUUCUCGUCAAAUGCAAGCUGCACUACUGUCAAAAAGUGUACUCUAUUUUGCAGUGCCAUAACUUGGUAAUCCACCAGAGGGAUAGGUAGAUGGGAGCCGGGGGCGGAGGUGACGCGAUCUACUCGGGAAUAAGAGAAUGCUAUAAUUAUGAUGUCAAAUUGGUCGGCAAAUACUGCUGCUUCUGGAAUCUGAAUGUACACCGCUAUGCAUGUUGCAAGCAAUGAACUCUUCUACAAGAGAAAAUAUCAGGAAGUAACAGCUCACUAUAUUGGAGCUAUUUAAAAGAAUCCAAAUGAGCCCGUGGUCUCUGCUAGAGGAAUGUAUUGUCUUGCAAACUGAAUUGGUUUUCUGGUUCAUGUCUUUGCAUUUUAGUUGCUGGAGAGAUUGUUGGAUAUACUUUGUUGCUUCCAGCCCAUAGAUAAGAAUAUUUCAGUCGCUGGAGAGAUUGUUGAACAUAUGACAUUGAUGCAAAUCUCUGGCCACCUACAAGUGAAACUGCUUGAAGACCAAGUUCGAAUAUGUAUGAGGGUAGUGAAGUUGGGCAUGCGAGUCUACUUGCAGUAUCGCAUCCUGAUGUUAUCAGUCCAGUAGUGAGGGGAAGGUGCCGCCGACGAGGAUGUGGAGGAGGACGAGGUCGAGCCGGGUCGAUGAAGGGUGUUGUGGUUGGCUUGCUGGCCAAGCAGCCACCUCUCUCCUCCUCGUCUUCGACAUCGUGAAGAACGAUGAUGAAAUGGACGCAUGCUGCAGGAGCAGCAGAGACGUUGUGUGAGCCUUGGGUUCUUCAUCGAUUCGUUCGUGCAUGCCCUUGGUCACAUGAACACCUCAGGUACAACUUGCCUCUCGUCUCUCCUCCCUGUUAUGGAUCCGACAUGAGGAUAAAUUGUUGGGACAGUAGGUAAUAUCAGGAUUUUUAUUGUUGUUGCUUCUAUUUACCUUGAUGUUCAUGGUUUUGGUGUAUGGCGUUCACCUUUUACCUGGAUGCCAGACCAAAUAAGAUCUCAACUCAGUUUCUUUAUUUGCAUGUUCAUCUCGUGUAUCAUGAAGAAACUUCAACACUAAACAGAGCAAAGCUAUUAUCUCGUCAAUAGAAGCUAGAGAAAUUAAUCCAUUAUAAUUUUCAUGCAUAUAAUUUAAUCUAAUUUUUAGUUGUGCUAAUUUAAUAACAGUACCAUCUAUACUACUGAUUUGGAGAUAUGUGCAAUACAUCUUUCAGUAAUCAAUAGUACACCUACCUAUGUAUAGUAUGCAUUAACUAGAUUAAUUAACGACAAAUGAAGGAUAUAUUCAAGUCAAGUUACUAAAUAUUCAUGAUGGUAUUUUUUUCCCUGAACUUCUUAUCCAGGAUCAACUGGGAAUUGGAUACUGAAGUGGUUUAGUAAAGCUUCAAAUGCAAUAGUGGCAAACAUCUCCAUUGAUGCUACAAAACGUCUUGAUGAUUUUGAAGCAAGACUCCAUGUUAAUUACAUUACUUUUUUUAUCAUGCCCUAUUGAUUGAAAAGUUACUUAGCCCUAAUCAUCCAUGCUUAAUAAUGAGGAUGGUUUUGGGACUUUGUUUAGCUUUCCAACAUAUGUCUAAAGAAUUAAACUUUUAUAGUUUAUUAGUACAGAGCUAGAUCUCUCACUGUGCUCAUCACAUGUAAUGAAGUCAUAUCACUUGGUUUUCUAGCAAUGGGUCAGCAAGUGGGUCAUGAUGAACCAAUUUAUGUUCUCUCUCUUGCAUUUGCACGAUCAUACUGAGCUGAUCUCUAUUGUAGGUUCCACAGAAGCACUGAAACUUGCUGAUUUUGUAGCCUCCUCGUAGCAGGGCCAGGAGAGCAGCGUCAGUUGGAUCCAGGAGGAGCACCAUUGUGGGAUCCGCUGCGGCCAAGUAUGUCUCUCUUCCUCCCCGUCCUCUUGAUCCACUGCCUCUCUUUGUUUCUGAAUUUCACACUGAAAUUGUAAAGUGAGGCUCAAAAAGAUACAGUGGUUACCAACGGUGACGACGACGACGAAGACUGGCCCAGCAUCUGGGACAGUGGAUGCGUUGAGCUUGAGAUGAAGAUCGGCCACUCCAUCCACGAUCACUGUUCUCCCCUUCUUUUUGUGGAGACGAUUUCAGUAUUCUUUAUCAAUGAUCUUUAGAACCAAGAUGCAUGUAUCACUCGUUCAAUCAAGUGUGUAAUGAUCUUUUAAUUUUGUUCCUGAUGAUUUGAAAUUCCUGGUUUAUCCACGCUCCCUGCUGCUUAUUAUGCCUAGAAUGCAAU